GGCUAUCAGCGAAUAGGUAGGGGAAAAAAAAGCUGCCUAAGUUACUUUGUGUAGUAUACAAUAGUAGCGUCGGUAUCCUCAUCUGUACUCGUGAGGUU